CUUGAUAAUCAUGUCACUUUGUAUAAAACCUAGAUAGUCGCACCUCUGUCACUCAUAACGGAUUCAGAAAUCAAGGAAAUUAACUAAGAUAUUUAAAAAAAAAUGAAGUCAUUGAUCGUUCUGUGCUGCGUUGUGAGUGUAAGCUUGGCCUUCCCAGGGAUGUUUCCAGAUGUCAAAAGAAGAGAAUCCACACCAAGUGUUGCCGAAGCCAUUAAAAAAACUACUUCUAUGGUGAAUAAGAGAACAACUGAAAAAAGAACUGAUUCCGUGCAACUGGCUUUUCGGUGGAUUGACGCUAACCACAAUGGUCACAUCAGUAACGACGAAUUUUCUACUUUUUAUGCUAAUGCUAAUAUUCCUGGUCUCAUAUACAGCAAAUCCGAGUGGUCAACUAUGUUCAACCAAGCAAUGACUCUCAUUGACACAAAUGGAAAUAAUCAAUUGGAAAUUGGAGAAUUUCGUACAUUAGCAAAUAGGGGAAUGGGAAAAUAGAGAAAAGGUUUCAUCAACUGAGCACUGCCUUCAACUUUAACUAGUACACCGUCUGCAGAUUUGAAAAAAUAAAUAAUCAUUUAAAGU